ACAAGCGGCGGAGCAUGCGGAUUAAUUCGAUGCAACGCGAAGAACCUUACCAAGGCUUGACAUACACCGGUAAGCCCAGAGAUGGGUGCCCCUUUGUGGUCGGUGGACAGGUGGUGCAUGGUUGUCGUCAGCUCGUGUCGUGAGAUGUUGGGUUAAGUCCCGCAACGAGCGCAACCCUCGUCCUAUGUUGCCAGCGGGUCAUGCCGGGGACUCAUGGGAGACUGCCGGGGUCAACUCGGAGGAAGUGGGGAUGACGUCAAAUCAUCAUGCCCCUUAUGUCUUGGGCUUCACGCAUGCUACAAUGGCCGGUACAAAGGGCUGCGAUACCGCGAGGUGGAGCGAAUCCCAGAAAGCCGGUCUCAGUUCGGAUUGGGGUCUGCAACUCGACCCCAUGAAGUCGGAGUCGCUAGUAAUCGCAGAUCAGCAACGCUGCGGUGAAUACGUUCCCGGGCCUU
rnacentral:rRNA from 1 species